GGGGUUGUCAUGGAAUCGACGUCUCUUCUAAGAACGAAAGGUUAAAGCAGGUCGAGGUCGAAGAUGGACUCGUACUCUCCACUUCAUUGCUUGAUUGCAUGCUAAUCAGAUUCUUCCUUUCUCUCGCCGGGUAGCCGUUGCUGCUUAAGCGAGUUUCUAGUGCCACUUUGUCACUAGUUUGUAUUAUGAGUUUCACACUCACUUCAAUGACGGUGAUAGAUACUACAUAUCACUCCUGCUUAGAGGGUCAUCUAAGCUAAACCAUGUGAAUAUAACCUUUCGGGCCUCGAGAGACGGAAGUGAGUUCAAUUCUCACCAACUCCACCA
rnacentral:tmRNA from 14 species